GUAACCAUAUAACCAAGAUUGCUCUCUCAAUUUGGAUCUCCGCCGUGAAUCUCACUCUCAGCUCUCCCAUAUCAAUAUAGUCGACGAACAGGUUUCUUCUACAGCCGUUUAACCAUAUAACGAAGAUUGCUCUCUCAAUUUGGAUCUCCGCCGUGAAUCCCACUGUCAGCUCUCCCUUAUCGAUAUCGUCAAUUGUUCGGGAAGCUUCUAUUGAACAAAGUUAUCGAACGCAGAUCGAUCUUGAUUGUUUCACAGUUUCAACUACAUCCCUCAAGCUGCCAGAUACUACGGUUGGGCUGAUAACAAGUACAAAAGGUUUUGCUUGCUCCUACUGUUUCUUCGAAGUGAUUUAUUUGUGAGAUCGUCUGUAUUCCAGGUUUUAUAUCGGUCUUGACGUUUUAGGGAUUUGGUUUAUCUUCGGCUUUGGGAAUCUGGUGAUUGAUUGGAAAGGUUGCAAGGUUUCGCUUACUACUACUGUUCCUGUUUGAAGUGAUUCAUUUCUUAGAAGAUCAGUGUUUAAGAUUCUAUGCAAAAAACUUUUGCCAACAUUUUUCUGCUGCUGUUCCUUUGUCUGCUCUUCAAUAUUAUUUUGGUUUUGUAUUGUUAUUCAGAUUUGGGGAAUAGUUUGCAGUCAGAUUCGUUAACUGUUAUUGAUCCAGUUAUGCUGCCGAAUACUGGAACAACCAAAGGAAAAAGAUCCUUGCAACAGAGGGAUCAUUACAUUAAGUCAGGAAGAUGGAAGCAAGUAUCUCAACAAGACCCAGUGGAAGAAGAAGAGAUUGUGCAGAUCAACAAUGAAGAAAUC